rnacentral:rRNA from 1 species
UUGUUGCAGUUAAAAAGCUCGUAGUUGGAUUUCGGAACCGGCCGAUUGGUCCGUCCUCUGGAUCGUGUACUGAUCGGUCUGUUCUUCUUCGCGAAGACCGCGUGUGCUCUUAACUGAGUGGGCGUGGGAUUCGCGACGUUUACUUUGAAAAAAUUAGAGUGUUCAAAGCAGGCAGUCGCUUGAAUAUCUCAGCAUGGAAUAAUAGAAUAGGACUUUGGUCUUAUUUUGUUGGUUUCCGAGACCGAAGUAAUGAUUAAUAGGGACAGUUGGGGGCAUUCGUAUUUCAUUGUCAGAGGUGAAAUUCUUGGAUUUAUGAAAGACGAACUUCUGCGAAAGCAUUUGCCAAGGAUGUUUUCAUUAAUCAAGAACGAAAGUUGGAGGCUCGAAGACGAUCAGAUACCGUCCUAGUUCCAACCAUAAACGAUGCCGUCUGCGGAUCGGAGGUCGCUCAUGUAAGGCUCCUUCGGCACGCUAUGAGAAAUCAAAGACUUCGGGUUCCGGGGGGAGUAUGUUCGCAAGAAUGAAACUUAAAGGAAUUGACGGAAGGGCACCACCA